GAUCAGCACCGCCGCGCGGAUCACCGGCAGGUCGCGCGCUUCGAUCGACUGGAUCAUCAGCCAGCCGACGCCCGGCCAGGCGAAGACCGUCUCAACCACCACCGAGCCGCCCAGCAGCGCCCCGAACUGGAGGCCCAUCACCGUCACCACCGGGA
rnacentral:misc_RNA from 1 species